CAGAGAGGACAGGAGGACAAAGAUAGCCCAGAAGACAGAGAAAGGCCAGUGCUGCCAAGGACGCCCAGCCAAUGGGAGCCCAACACAAAUGGUGCAGCGCCUGGCUGGACACUGAGAGCACCGGCCUGGACAGCAGGUAAGGGGCUUCGUGAACCCCAGGGGAACCAGGCCACCCACAGGGACCCACAGAGGCCAUGUGUUCAGCUCCUGCAACGAGGGCUCCCCAGCACCCGGGCUCAGCAGAGACUCAGGACAAGCCCAGUGGGCAGGCCCCGUGCAGGGAGGGAGGCCCAGGGGCCUGAGCCAGGGCUGUCCACAGGAGGCAGCUCCCAGGAAGUAGGAGCCCAGUGUGACGGGUGGGUCACACUGGGCUUCCUCUGCUUAGUCCCAGGUUGGAGGAAGGGACAGAAGCUAAGGAAGCUGGAGCCACUGGCCAGGUGUGUUCAGCCCCUGGCUGGCUGUGCAGCUCCUGGACCCGGGGUCACCGCCUCGUGAUCCGGUGACAGCUGCCUUUGUCCUCUGCUGUCCCCCCUUUCCCGGGUUCAUCCUGAACUCCUCUGCGGUUUCGAGCAGAGCUUUACACCUCCCUAGCCCUGCUGACUGCACAUUGCUCCGAGAGCUCUCUCCACCUGGUCAGUGCCGCUCUGCCUUACGAGAGGUCCUCACCCUCCUGCUAGAGAGGAGCCACGUGCCCGCACGGAUACGGGCGCGUAACGACUGUGACGUGAUCCUCGGGUUGCCUGUGACCUCCAUGGUCAUAGACCACACCACAGUGACGUUCCCCCAGCUGUGCCUCGGCACAAGCCCUCAGCAGGCCCACGGACGUCUGCUGGAGUGACCUUCCUGAGCGGGAGGACGGCUGACGGUGGCCUUUCUCAGGCUGCUUGCUGUUUUCAACUCUUCCUGGAGGAACAGGGAACGCCCCGCGGAGCACCAGGUGCCUCCUCAUGAAAGCGCUGCCACUUCUGGGUCUAAGAACACUCCGGAAAAACAGCAGGCGUUGUCCAGGGAUCGCCAAGGCUGGCGGGACCGAACCCCUUCCUUCCUGCUGUCCCGGUCCCUUGGGUCUUUCCCACGGCUGCCAAGGGCCUCCCCAGCUCGGGAUCCUGCCGUGUCCCCGCCCAGGGACCCUGGCCGCCUCCGCCCUCAGUCCGUCUCCCCCCUCAGUCUGCCUCCCUGGCUGCUCCUCCCUCCGC
rnacentral:lncRNA from 1 species